GGGUCAGUAGGUUGGUCGUGCCACCGGUACGUACUGGUCUCACUGAUUCCUCCUUCCUGAAGAACCGUAAUGCCAUUAAUUUGGUGUUGCGGGGAAACAGGACUGCUACUUUGAAAAAAUUAGAGUGUUUAAAGCAAGCUAACGCUUGAAUACAUUAGCAUGGAAUAAUGAAAUAGGACGAUCGAUCCUAUUUUGUUGGUUUCUAGGAUUGACCUA
rnacentral:rRNA from 1 species